rnacentral:rRNA from 1 species
AGUGAACGCUGGCGGCAUGCCUAACACAUGCAAGUCGAACGGCAGCACAGUAAGAUCUUGCUCUUACGGGUGGCGAGUGGCGGGCGGGUGAGGAAUACAUCGGAAUCUACUUUUUCGUGGGGGAUAACGUAGGCAAACUUACGCUAAUACCGCAUACGACCUACGGUUGAAAGCAGGGGAUCUUCGGACCUUGCGCGAUUGAAUGAGCCGAUGUCGGAUUAGCUAGUUGGCUGGGUAAAGGCCCACCAAGGCGACGAUCCGUAGCUGGUCUGAGAGGAUGAUCGGCCACACUGGAACUGAGACACGGCCCAGACUCCUCCGGGAGGAAGCAGUGGGGAAUAUUGGACAAUGGGCGAAAGCCUGAUCCAGCAAUACCGCGUGGGUGAAGAAGGCCUUCGGGUGGUAAAGCCCUUUUGUUGGGAAAGAAAAGCAGCAGGUUAAUACCCCGCUGUUCUGACGGUACCUAAAGAAUAAGCCCCGGCUAACUUCGUG